AUUUGUCUUUGAGGCGGGGGGCGGUUCCCCACCGGCGGUAUAGCCCGCGAGCUUGAGCCUAUGGCAGAAUGUCAUUUCUGCCCAUGGCAUGGCAUGAUUCGGUGAGAUUCCGAAGCCGACCGUAUAGUCGGGAUGAGAAAAGGCAGUG
rnacentral:ncRNA from 2 species